rnacentral:rRNA from 1 species
AUCGCCCUACGGGACGCAGCAGUGGGGAAUAUUGGGCAAUGGGCGCAAGCCUGACCCAGCAACGCCGCGUGAAGGAAGAAGGCUUUCGGGUUGUAAACUUCUUUUAUCAGGGACGAAGCAAGUGACGGUACCUGAUGAAUAAGCCACGGCUAACUACGUGCCAGCAGCCGCGGUAAUACGUAGGUGGCAAGCGUUAUCCGGAUUUACUGGGUGUAAAGGGAGCGUAGACGGAAAGGCAAGUCAGA